GCGCCCGUAGCUCAAUCGGAUAGAGUUCUUGGCUUCGAACCAAGCGGUUGGGGGUUCGAGUCCCUCCGGGCGCG
rnacentral:tRNA from 1 species